AUGCAGUCGAGCGAAUGGAUGGGAGCUUGCUCCCUGAAGUUAGCGGCGGACGGGUGAGUAACACGUGGGCAACCUGCCUAUAAGACUGGGAUAACUUCGGGAAACCGGAGCUAAUACCGGAUACGUUCUUUUCUCGCAUGAGAGAAGAUGGAAAGACGGUUUACGCUGUCACUUAUAGAUGGGCCCGCGGCGCAUUAGCUAGUUGGUGAGGUAAUGGCUCACCAAGGCGACGAUGCGUAGCCGACCUGAGAGGGUGAUCGGCCACACUGGGACUGAGACACGGCCCAGACUCCUACGGGAGGCAGCAGUAGGGAAUCUUCCGCAAUGGACGAAAGUCUGACGGAGCAACGCCGCGUGAACGAAGAAGGCCUUCGGGUCGUAAAGUUCUGUUGUUAGGGAAGAACAAGUACCAGAGUAACUGCUGGUACCUUGACGGUACCUAACCAGAAAGCCACGGCUAACUACGUGCCAGCAGCCGCGGUAAUACGUAGGUGGCAAGCGUUGUCCGGAAUUAUUGGGCGUAAAGCGCGCGCAGGUGGUUCCUUAAGUCUGAUGUGAAAGCCCACGGCUCAACCGUGGAGGGUCAUUGGAAACUGGGGAACUUGAGUGCAGAAGAGGAAAGUGGAAUUCCAAGUGUAGCG
rnacentral:rRNA from 2 species